rnacentral:rRNA from 1 species
UACGUAGGUGGCAAGCGUUAUCCGGAUUUAUUGGGCGUAAAGGGAACGCAGGCGGUCUUUUAAGUCUGAUGUGAAAGCCUUCGGCUUAACCGGAGUAGUGCAUUGGAAACUGGGAGACUUGAGUGCAGAAGAGGAGAGUGGAACUCCAUGUGUAGCGGUGAAAUGCGUAGAUAUAUGGAAGAACACCAGUGGCGAAAGCGGCUCUCUGGUCUGUAACUGACGCUGAGGUUCGAAAGCGUGAGUAGCAAAUAGG